UACGUAGGGUCCGAGCGUUGUCCGGAAUUAUUGGGCGUAAAGGGCUCGUAGGCGGUCUGUUGCGUCGGGAGUGAAAACUUACAGCUUAACUGUGAGCGUGCUUCCGAUACGGGCAGACUUGAGGUAUUCAGGGGAGAACGGAAUUCCUGGUGUAGCGGUGAAAUGCGCAGAUAUCAGGAGGAACACCAGUGGCGAAGGCGGAUCUCUGGGCCAUUACUGACGCUGAGGAGCGAAAGCGUGGGGAGCGAACAGG
rnacentral:rRNA from 1 species